rnacentral:rRNA from 1 species
GACAGCAGCCGCCGCGGGAAUACGUAGGGCGCAAGCGUUGUCCGGAAUUAUUGGGCGUAAAGAGCUCGUAGGCGGUCUGUCGCGUCUGGUGUGAAAUCCCGAGGCUCAACCUCGGGCUUGCAUCGGGUACGGGCAGACUAGAGUGCGGUAGGGGAGACUGGAAUUCCUGGUGUAGCGGUGGAAUGCGCAGAUAUCAGGAGGAACACCGAUGGCGAAGGCAGGUCUCUGGGCCGCAACUGACGCUGAGGAGCGAAAGCAUGGGGAGCGAACAGGAUUAGAUACCCGAGUAGUCCCUGUCUCUUAUAC